rnacentral:rRNA from 1 species
AAUCAACGCUGGCGGCGUGCCUAACACAUGCAAGUCGAACGCGAAAGGGCCGCAAGGCCUGAGUAGAGUGGCAAACGGGUGAGUAACACGUGGGUGACCUGCCUUCGAGUGGGGGAUAACGUCCCGAAAGGGACGCUAAUACCGCAUGACAUCCUGUUCUUGGAGGGGUGGAGAUCAAAGCUGGGGAUCGCAAGACCUGGCGCUCGGAGAGGGGCCCGCGUCUGAUUAGCUAGUUGGUGGGGUAACGGCUCACCAAGGCGACGAUCAGUAUCCGGCCUGAGAGGGCGGACGGACACACUGGGACUGAGACACGGCCCAGACUCCUACGGGAGGCAGCAGUGGGGAAUUGUUCGCAAUGGGCGCAAGCCUGACGACGCAACGCCGCGUGGAGGACGAAGAUCUUCGGGUCGUAAACUCCUGUCGAGCGGGAAGAACGGGCUGGUGGUGAACAACUACCGGUCGUGACGGUACCGCUAAAGGAAGCCCGGCUAACUCCGUGCCAGCAGCCGCA